AUUGAACGCUGGCGGCAGGCCUAACACAUGCAAGUCGAACGAGUGGCGGACGGGUGAGUAAUGUCUGGGAAACUGCCCGAUGGAGGGGGAUAAAUACGGGAAACGGUAGCUAAUACCGCAUAACAUUGGAUGUGCCAUGGUUGGAUUAGCUAGUAGGUGGGGUAAAGGCUAACCUAGGCGACGAUCCAUAGCUGGUCUGAGAGGAUGACCAGCCACACUGGAACUGAGACACGGUCCAGACUCCUACGGGAGGCAGCAGUAGGGAAUCUUCCGCAAUGGGCGCAAGCCUGAUAGAGCCAUGCCGCGUGUAUGAAGAAGGCCUUCGGGUUGUAAAGUACUUUCAGCGGGGAAGCGUUACCCACACAAGAAGCACCGGCUAACUCCGUGCCAGCCGCCGCGGUAAUUC
rnacentral:rRNA from 1 species